CCAAUAGCGUAUAUUAAAGUUGUUGCAGUUAAAAAGCUCGUAGUUGAAUUUCGAGAUCAAUUUGUCGGUCGUGCCUCGGUACGUACUGGCAUUAUUGGUUUCUCCCUUCUGAAGAACCGCGAUGUCAUUAAUUUGGUGUCUUGGGUAAUCAGGACUGUUACUUUGAAAAAAUUAGAGUGUUUAAAGCAGGCGCACGCUUGAAUACAUUAGCAUGGAAUAAUGAAAUAGGACGUUUGAUUCUAUUUUGUUGGUUUCUAGGAUCGACGUAAUGAUUAAUAGGGAUAGUUGGGGGCAUUAGUAUUCAAUUGUCAGAGGUGAAAUUCUUGGAUUUAUUGAAGACUAACUACUGCGAAAGCAUUUGCCAAGGAUGUUUUCAUUAAUCAAGAACGAAAGUUAGGGGAUCGAAGACGAUCAGAUACCGUCGUAGUCUUAACCAUAAACUAUGCCGACUAGGGAUCGGAUGAUGUUAAUUUUUUAAUGACUCAUUCGGCGCCUUACG
rnacentral:rRNA from 1 species